AGCGAACGUUAGCGGCGGGCCUAACACAUGCAAGUCGUACGAGAACGCUCCUUCGGGAGUUAUUAAAGUGGCGCACGGGUGAGGAACGCGUAGGUAAUCUAACCCUCAGCGGGGGACAACACUCCGAAAGGAAUGCUAAUACCGCGUAAGACCACACUUACUAAGGUGAGAGUGGUAAAAGAUGGCCUCUUCUUGAAAGCCAUCACCAGAGGAUGAGCCUGCGUCCCAUCAGCUUGUUGGUAAGGUAACGGCUUACCAAGGCGAAGACGGGUAGCUGGUCUGAGAGGAUGAUCAGCCACACUGGCACUGGAACACGGGCCAGACUCCUACGGGGGGCAGCAGUGAGGAAUAUUGGGCAAUGGGCGCAAGCCUGACCCAGCCACGCCGCGUGUGUGAUGAAGGCCUUCGGGUCGUAAAGCACUGUGGGGAGGGACGAAAAAUCUCCGUUCGAAUAGGGCGGAGGCUUGACGGUACCUCCUUAGCAAGCACCGGCUAACUCUGUG
rnacentral:rRNA from 1 species